GAAUUUUAAUGAAAAGUGUUUUAACCAAAAAAUGACACACCCCGACCUAGAUCGAGGCAUGCUAGCCGUCACAUGGGAGUGACGUAACCAUGUGCACAAUGUGGAAGCAAUAAGGAUAUACGAGAAUUUCAAAGGAAAAAAAACCAAACUACUAGCAGAACUAGCUAAGAUAAAGUGCUAGUGCGAGAUUAAGGGUGAAAUACACAAUCAGAGCAUAAAUAUUCUAGAUGCAGUCAAGUAGGACAGUGCUAAUUAUACAACACCCAAUGGUGAUCCUACAUUUAUGAUGUUUUGUCAGAACCCCCAUCGAAAUCCUCAUGAUCCACCAAAGCACUUCUACCUAAAACCUGGAGGGGCGCAAAACAUAAAGUGUGAGUGGGCAAAAACAAAACUUUUCAAAAUCAUUUCAUUUCUCAUAAAAUUCUAACCCCUCGCCGUAAAACCUGUAUAAUUUCCCAGAAAAUAAUCAUAAUAACAAGUUGAAUCAGAAAUCAUACUCAAGAUGAAAAUCCAUAGAAGUAUACCAUGCCAAAGUAUCUCAAUGCAAUGCUAUAAGUAAUCCAGGCAAAAUAUAUCAAUGUCAAAUAUCGCAUCAGCCAAAUCCCUUUAACCCAAUCUGCACGGCUGAGUAUAUAUCUCACAACCAAUCUCAAUCAUAUCAAAUCAAAUCCUGCACACGAGUCGGAACCACCUAAAGUGGUCUGUACGACAAGACUAGGUGUAAAGUAAAUAUGCUCUAGUGCUACGAUCACGUGAAGGCUGUGUGAAUAAUUGCAGGUCACCUACGAGUUGGAACCACCUAAGGUGGUAUGUACGACAAGUCUGUGCACCUAACUUGGAUCCAAGAUGAGCAUAUGGUGCGGGAGGUGAACAUCACGUGAAGGAUUGUGCCCUAACUCUGGGUGGGAGCACUACCACCGAGAUGCAGGUUUAUGAGCUUUCAAUACAUCAUAUCAUGUCUCGAAUAAUUGAAGCAAUCUCAUAUCUUUAAUUUAUGAACUUACCUGGCACUUACUUGUGCGUCCGCAUCACCAAUCAUAAAUAUAUGCAACUACUAAUGCGUAUUAAAAUAGACAGAUACUUUGCAUGGUAAUUCAAAACGUAAUUUCAUUCAAAUUCAUUUUCUGGGAAAAAUCAAGUAUAUAGGUAUAUACGGAAAACCAAAAGCCCACUCACUGAUAUGUCGAAGGGUCGUAGCCCUUGAGCCUCAAUUGAUGGCGCUCGCCUUAGGAUAAGUCUCACCUAUAUGCAAAAUAACUGAAUAAACAUUAUUUGAAGCACAUACACAAAACUAGGAAAUAACUUCUCAUACAUUGCUCAAAUGGGGUUUUUGAAUAUAUCACCAUGAUCUACUCAACCUCAGGAACAUCCCCAAAUUUUAGAAAAAUUUUCCGACCACCCACGCGCUGCCAUGCGCCGGCCAAGGCACGGCCAGACGCGCCCCUAUGCGCGGCCAAACCCUAACUGAAACUUAAGUGCCGUUAGGAAUAUUCCGUUAAAACCUUAACAGAAAUUAACAGCGUUACCUGACGUCGUUAGAAUAUUCCGUCAAAUAUUCCCCUUCUUCUUCCUUGGAUCGCCGUAAAUCGUCGCUGGUGUCGGUUUCUGGAAAAAUUAUCAAACCUUCAUAUCUUUGUUGAUUUUCAACCAAAAUUCACAAAAUCUAUACCAAAUUAAAGCUUAGGAUGAGAGGAACAAAACCUUACCACUUUGGGGACCUAAGACCAACGAAAUCUCGCUGGAGAAACUUCGAUAAUCCGACCAAACUUGAAACUUAUCGAACUCAACUUCCUGACGUCCAAAACACUUCGUUUUUCUUCUCCGAGCUUCGUAAAGACGUCCUAAAGCUCACUAGCAGCUUAAAAUCUCCUAAAAACUUUAGAAUCAAGAGUGCAUGAACACUAACCCAAAACUGGGUUCUCGGGAAAAUGAGGUCUUCACGCCCAAAUAAUAGUAUCAAUAGGUU
rnacentral:lncRNA from 1 species